rnacentral:rRNA from 1 species
GAUGAACGCUGGCGGCGUGCCUAAUACAUGCAAGUCGAGCGAACGGACGAGAAGCUUGCUUCUCUGAUGUUAGCGGCGGACGGGUGAGUAACACGUGGAUAACCUACCUAUAAGACUGGGAUAACUUCGGGAAACCGGAGCUAAUACCGGAUAAUAUUUUGAACCGCAUGGUUCAAAAGUGAAAGACGGUCUUGCUGUCACUUAUAGAUGGAUCCGCGCUGCAUUAGCUAGUUGGUAAGGUAACGGCUUACCAAGGCAACGAUGCAUAGCCGACCUGAGAGGGUGAUCGGCCACACUGGAACUGAGACACGGUCCAGACUCCUACGGGAGGCAGCAGUAGGGAAUCUUCCGCAAUGGGCGAAAGCCUGACGGAGCAACGCCGCGUGAGUGAUGAAGGUCUUCGGAUCGUAAAACUCUGUUAUUAGGGAAGAACAUAUGUGUAAGUAACUGUGCACAUCUUGACGGUACCUAAUCAGAAAGCCACGGCUAACUACGUGCCAGCAGCCGCGGUAAUACGUAGGUGGCAAGCGUUAUCCGGAAUUAUUGGGCGUAAAGCGCGCGUAGGCGGUUUUUUAAGUCUGAUGUGAAAGCCCACGGCUCAACCGUGGAGGGUCAUUGGAAACUGGAAAACUUGAGUGCAGAAGAGGAAAGUGGAAUUCCAUGUGUAGCGGUGAAAUGCGCAGAGAUAUGGAGGAACACCAGUGGCGAAGGCGACUUUCUGGUCUGUAACUGACGCUGAUGUGCGAAAGCGUGGGGAUCAAACAGGAUUAGAUACCCUGGUAGUCCACGCCGUAAACGAUGAGUGCUAAGUGUUAGGGGGUUUCCGCCCCUUAGUGCUGCAGCUAACGCAUUAAGCACUCCGCCUGGGGAGUACGACCGCAAGGUUGAAACUCAAAGGAAUUGACGGGGACCCGCACAAGCGGUGGAGCAUGUGGUUUAAUUCGAAGCAACGCGAAGAACCUUACCAAAUCUUGACAUCCUUUGACAACUCUAGAGAUAGAGCUUUCCCCUUCGGGGGACAAAGUGACAGGUGGUGCAUGGUUGUCGUCAGCUCGUGUCGUGAGAUGUUGGGUUAAGUCCCGCAAUGAGCGCAACCCUUAAGCUUAGUUGCCAUCAUUAAGUUGGGCACUCUAAGUUGACUGCCGGUGACAAACCGGAGGAAGGUGGGGAUGACGUCAAAUCAUCAUGCCCCUUAUGAUUUGGGCUACACACGUGCUACAAUGGACAAUACAAAGGGCAGCGAAACCGCGAGGUCAAGCAAAUCCCAUAAAGUUGUUCUCAGUUCGGAUUGUAGUCUGCAACUCGACUACAUGAAGCUGGAAUCGCUAGUAAUCGUAGAUCAGCAUGCUACGGUGAAUACGUUCCCGGGUCU